CCCCAGCUAACCUUUUGGUUGUGGUGUACGGAAAGGUUGAAUCUAUGAGGUGCUGGGGACCAUCAUGAAUGAAAAACACUGCGGUGUCCAAGGACGCUAGUUUGGUUGUCGUGUUCACUCUGAGCUUUCUCUGGACUUCAGGUCAAUCCAAGAUAAAGCGCUGAGUAGAAGCGGGGUACCUUCUCUGGACCCAGAAAGAAAUAACCAUUUCUCCACCCCCAAUCUCACACACACCCCUUAGUCGCUCCCUCCAAAUGGUUAUCACAACUGUGUACAAACUGAUACCGUUCUUAGCGGGCCAAGGACUGGAAAUGAACACUGGCGGGGUUAUCAGUGCGGAUCUGUCAGCAGCGAGUGGCGCACUGCUUGUCCCAGGCAGCCGCAGUGGUGUACUUCUUAUUCCUUCGGGCCCACAAGGAGGAUUUCUCCCGACAAGCUGGACACUGGAAGGCUGCGGGAAGGGAAUUGAACAGGAGAAACACUCUUAUGGGAGUGGAUUUUUACACGCACACCCCACGUAAAUUAAAUCACUGUGGCUUCAGUGUGACUGCCUUUCUGAAAGGCUGAAAGUAGAAAACUCUGGAAUGGAGAGGCUGGCAACUGGAGCAGGAUUCGAAGGCUUUAAAUUUUAACCCGCGUUCGAUCGAAAGUUACUACCACAAGAGACUGGCACCGGCCGGCCCAAUUCCCACCAUGGCUUCCAGAGGCUUGCUUUGGGGUUGUCCGAAAAGGGAGAGACGGACAUUCCUGGACUAACAGACAGUGCUGUGCCUUGGUGAUUGGGGCCCCAAAGAGCUCACAGAAUCUGAAAUCUCUGAGGAAUAUCAUGCCUACUAAUAUGAAAGCCCUAAGCAAAGAAGGUCAGAAGCCCAGGGCCAAAGCAGUUAAGAUUCAUCAUCCCAUGUGUUCCGCAACACAAGCGCUCUGAAGGAAGAGUUCACUGACACAAACAUGGAGUAUAUGACAAGCUGUUCAUCAAGAGAGUGAAGAAGACAAAGAACCCAGGGAAGAGAUCGCCAGGAGUCACCAGUUGUCCUCACUGAGAGCCUAUACCUCCAAGCCUAAGUCCAGGCAAAAGGUUUCUCUGUGUAGCCCUGGCUGUCCUAGAACUCGCUUCAUAGACCAAACUGGUCUCAAACUCAGAGAUCCAACUCUGCUUCCUGUGACACCAGCCCUGCUCAGCUUUCAAAUUUCAAAGGCCUUCUUAGUGUCAAGAGUUCAGCAUGUACAGAACCUCUGUGAAAAUAGCAGGCUGAACAGACAGAAGCCCAUAAUGUCUUACAGGAUAUGGUCUGAGUAGUCCAACCAUGGAUAUGUCAUACUGGAGCAGCUGAGAACCUGGCAAUAGUCCACAAUGCUGGAUGUCUCCACAGUCCCAACCUGACACCAGAGACAUGGAGGACUCCUGAAGAACUUCUGGUCCUUAAGUGCACACUGGAAGCCCAGAGAAGCUAGCUCUAAUAUCAACCAAGAAUGCAGCAGAACAGGAGAUAGGCUUGCCCUCUCAUCAUCCAGGCUGCAACCAACCAAAAGACACUUUUGUGGAUUUGUAGUCUUUGCUUUUUCUGGACAGGGUUUCUCUGUAUAUCCCCAGCUGUCCUGGAACUCUCUAUACAGGCCAGUCUGGCCUUGAACUUAGAGAUCUUCCUACCUCUGCCUCCCUGAGCACUGGAAUUAAAGGCUUAUGCCACCUCACCCUGCUAAUACCGCCCACUUUUAGGAUACAUCUUUCUGCUUCAAAUGAUCAGAUCAAGAAGAGUCUUUUGAAAGAGCAGGAGGUUUGUGUUAUUCCAGAUCUAAUCUACUUGACAGGUAAGACUGGAGUUCCACCACUGGGACCCCACAGCAGAAGGAUGGACUCCCACAAGCUGUCCUCUGACCUCCAUACAAACCUUAUGGUGCAUGUUUGAGG
ensembl:lncRNA LOC100909782 uncharacterized LOC100909782